rnacentral:rRNA from 1 species
AUUAACGCUAGCGGCAGGCCUAAUACAUGCAAGUCGAACGGCAGCACGGGUAGCAAUACCUGGUGGCGAGUGGCGCACGGGUGCGUAACAUGUAUGCAAUCUACCUUUAACUGGGGAAUAACCCCUCGAAAGAGGGGCUAAUACCGCAUAAUACUUCGGAGGGACAUCCCUUUGAAGUCAAAUCUACGGAGGUUAAAGAUGAGCAUGCGUCCGAUUAGCUAGUUGGCGGGGUAACGGCCCACCAAGGCGACGAUCGGUAGGGGAUCUGAGAGGAUGAUCCCCCACACUGGUACUGAGACACGGACCAGACUCCUACGGGAGGCAGCAGUAAGGAAUAUUGGACAAUGGGCGCAAGCCUGAUCCAGCCAUGCCGCGUGCAGGAUGAAAGUGCUCUGCACUGUAAACUGCUUUUACUUGGGAAAAAACCCCUGCUUUCCAGCGGGGCUGAUUGUACCGAGAGAAUAAGGGACGGCUAACUUCGU